UCAUUGAAAAUAAGAAUUUGUUCUUAACUGACUUGCCUAGUUAAAAAAGGUAAAAUAAAUAAAAAUUAUUCUCACCCCUCCACAGACUUUUAUAAGUGGUUCCAUUCAAAUAGUAUCAAGAAUCAGCAUAUCCUUUCUUCAGGUCUAUCAGGUCUAGCUAUGCAGGUAUGGAUCCAUCCAGUCUAAAUGGAUAUUUUAACACCAGUCUUUAAUUUGUCCUUAAAGGGGUAGUUCAAUGUGAAGUUUGAUUUCCUUUUUAAAUAUUAUUUUAUUGGUAUGUACAUAACAUUUCCAUACAACUUUUUUUACUUGUACAGUUUAGCUGAACGCAACAUGUUUGAGCGAUCCCGUCCUUCUGCUGAACAUGAUGAAUAUUCUCUUUGGAAUCUCGUUCGUCUGAACUCCUGUUGAGAAAAGGAAUAGCUGACUUCAGCAGAGGGCUACGUAACCUGUCAUAAAGGCUACAUAUGUAAUGUCUAACUACCUCCAUGUGCCUGCCUGGUAUCUGGUCCCCACCCAGACACCAGGCAGGUGAAGCUUUUGCCUUAGGUUUCCUCUGUAUGUGGCUGAACAGGGAGUCGUGAUGCCAACUAGACUGGUCCUGAUGGUGGUACCAGACUGGUCACUAGAAGAUGCCUGUUACUGAACUACCACAAGGUUUCUGCCCCCCUGGUUGAGGUCCUAGUGUCUGCCGUGUUUGGAAAGAGCUCGUUGGCUGCUGAAGUGUUGCUGUGCUGGUGGAGCGGGAAGGUGUGUAGUGGGAAUGACUUACGGUUCCAGUAUUAUAGUACACUGAGUAUAGAGGACAUUAAAAACACCUUCCUAAUAUUGAGUUUGCCCUCAGAACAGCCUCAGUUGUCUGGUGACACAACUGUGGGUCGGCAUUGGAGUCAAGUUAGCUGGAUGUCCUUUGGGUGGUGGACCAGUGUUGAUACACAUAAGAAACUUGCUCUUUACAAACCCAGCAGUGUUUCAUUUGAGCUAAACCGGUCCACCUGGCACCUACCAUACCCCAUCCAAAGGAACUUAAAUCCUUUGUAUUGCCAUUCUCAACUUUUGGCCAAGACUGUAUAUGUGUUGUAAUGGAAAAAGGGGGCAGAUCAAUAUUAGGAAGAUGUUGUUAAUGUACUGUUGAAUGUUUCUCUUGGAUCAUCACACUGACCCAUGCAAUUUGUUAUAAACUACAUACUCUGACGUGAUGAGUCAUCAUUACCGCCCCAGUCUGAUGUAACGCUGACUGAUUGGUUACUCUCUGAUCAAGUCAUCUCAUACCUUGUGUAUUAGUCCCUACAGUAUCACCAGGGUUUAAUUCUCACUAUUUUCCCUCUAGCUCUCCUGUUUGGUCAGCAAGGAAGUGAGACAUCUUGUUGGAACUGGGGAAAACCAGGCCAAGUCAAUUCAACCCUGUGACUGUGUUUUGAUGUAUAAAUAAAUCUACAAAU